rnacentral:rRNA from 1 species
UCCAGACUCCUACGGGAGGCAGCAGUAGGGAAUCUUCGGCAAUGGACGAAAGUCUGACCGAGCAACGCCGCGUGAGUGAAGAAGGUUUUCGGAUCGUAAAACUCUGUUGGUAGAGAAGAACGUUGGUGAGAGUGGAAAGCUCAUCAAGUGACGGUAACUACCCAGAAAGGGACGGCUAACUCCGUGCCAGCAGCCGCGGUAAUACGGAGGAUGCGAGCGUUAUCCGGAUUUAUUGGGUUUAAAGGGUGCGCGGGCGGCACGGCAAGCCGGGGGUCAAAUCGCGGGGCUCAACCCCGCCCAGCCGUCGGAACUGCCGGGCUAGAGUGGGCGAGAAGUGCGCGGAAUGCGUGGUGUAGCGGUGAAAUGCAUAGAUAUCACGCAGAACUCCGAUUGCGAAGGCAGCGCACCGGCGCCCUACUGACGCUCAGGCACGAAAGCGUGGGUAUCGAACAGGAUUAGAUACCCGUGUAG